rnacentral:tRNA from 1 species
GCCUGGGUGGCGAAAUUGGUAGACGCGCCAGAUUUAGGUUCUGGUUGCCAAUGGCAGUGCGGGUUCGAGUCCCGCCUCAGGCACCA